GUGAAUAUUUUUCAGAUGGUAACUUGGCCAAAGCAACUGACAUGGGUAGAGAUGUUGGAUUGGCUAAGAAACUAUGGGAUUUCAGCAUGAAAUUGGUCGACUAAACGUUGCUUCCAAAAUAUGCAACUCCUUACCAGAUUUACAAGAAAGUAUCAUCAUUUUCUUUUCUUAGACAUAAUGUUUAUGGAUGAAAUCCUGCUAAAAAAAAAUUGUUUAUGGA
rnacentral:misc_RNA from 1 species